rnacentral:rRNA from 1 species
AACGAACGCUGGCGGCAGGCUUAACACAUGCAAGUCGAACGCCCCGCAAGGGGAGUGGCAGACGGGUGAGUAACGCGUGGGAACGUGCCCUUCGCUUCGGAAUAGCCUCGGGAAACCGGGAGUAAUACCGAAUACGCCGUAUUGGGAAAGAUUUAUCGGCGAAGGAUCGGCCCGCGUUAGAUUAGGUAGUUGGCGGUGUGAUGGACCACCAAGCCUACGAUCUAUAGCUGGUCUGAGAGGAUGAUCAGCCACACUGGGACUGGGACACGGCCCAGACUCCUACGGGAGGCAGCAGUGGGGAAUCUUGGACAAUGGGCGCAAGCCUGAUCCAGCCAUGCCGCGUGAGUGAAGAAGGCCUUAGGGUUGUAAAACUCUUUCGCCGGAGAAGAUAAUGACGGUAUCCGGAGAAGAAGCCCCGGCUAACUUCGUGCCAGCCGCCGCGGUAAUAC